rnacentral:rRNA from 1 species
CAGCAGUGGGGAAUAUUGCACAAUGGGGGAAACCCUGAUGCAGCGACGCCGCGUGGAGGAAGAAGGUCUUCGGAUUGUAAACUCCUGUUGUUGAGGAAGAUAAUGACGGUACUCAACAAGGAAGUGACGGCUAACUACGUGCCAGCAGCCGCGGUAAAACGUAGGUCACAAGCGUUGUCCGGAAUUACUGGGUGUAAAGGGAGCGCAGGCGGGAAGACAAGUUGGAAGUGAAAUCUAUGGGCUCAACCCAUAAACUGCUUUCAAAACUGUUUUUCUUGAGUAGUGCAGAGGUAGGCGGAAUUCCCGGUGUAGCGGUGGAAUGCGUAGAUAUCGGGAGGAACACCAGUGGCGAAGGCGGCCUACUGGGCACCAACUGACGCUGAGGCUCGAAAGUGUGGGUAGCAAACAGGAUUAGAUACCCUGGUAGUCCACACCGUAAACGAUGAUUACUAGGUGUUGGAGGAUUGACCCCUUCAGUGCCGCAGUUAACACAAUAAGUAAUCCACCUGGGGAGUACGACCGCAAGGUUGAAACUCAAAGGAAUUGACGGGGGCCCGCACAAGCAGUGGAGUAUGUGGUUUAAUUCGACGCAACGCGAAGAACCUUACCAAGUCUUGACAUCCUGCGACGGACAUAGAAAUAUGUCUUUCCUUCGGGACGCAGAGACAGGUGGUGCAUGGUUGUCGUCAGCUCGUGUCGUGAGAUGUUGGGUUAAGUCCCGCAACGAGCGCAACCCUUAUGGUCAGUUACUACGCAAGAGGACUCUGGCCAGACUGCCGUUGACAAAACGGAGGAAGGUGGGGAUGACGUCAAAUCAUCAUGCCCU